GUGUCAGCCGCCGCGGUAAUACGUAGGUGGCGAGCGUUGUCCGGAUUUACUGGGCGUAAAGGGAGCGUAGGCGGACUUUUAAGUGAGAUGUGAAAUACCCGGGCUUAACUUGGGUGCUGCAUUUCAAACUGGAAGUCUAGAGUGCAGGAGAGGAGAAUGGAAUUCCUAGUGUAGCGGUGAAAUGCGUAGAGAUUAGGAAGAACACCAGUGGCGAAGGCGAUUCUCUGGACUGUAACUGACGCUGAGGCUCGAAAGCGUGGGGAGCAAACAGGAUUAGAUACCCUCGUAGUCC
rnacentral:rRNA from 1 species